GUCUAUGGCCAUGCUACCCUGAACACGCCCAAUCUCAUCUGAUCUUGAAAGCUAAGCAAGGUUAGGCCUGGUUAAUACUUGGAUGGGAGACCACCUAGGAAGACCGAGGUGUAAAAAAUA
rnacentral:rRNA from 1 species